rnacentral:rRNA from 1 species
CAUGCAAGUCGAGCGGAUGAGAAGAGCUUGCUCUUCGAUUCAGCGGCGGACGGGUGAGUAAUGCCUAGGAAUCUGCCUGGUAGUGGGGGACAACGUUUCGAAAGGAACGCUAAUACCGCAUACGUCCUACGGGAGAAAGCAGGGGACCUUCGGGCCUUGCGCUAUCAGAUGAGCCUAGGUCGGAUUAGCUAGUUGGUGAGGUAAUGGCUCACCAAGGCGACGAUCCGUAACUGGUCUGAGAGGAUGAUCAGUCACACUGGAACUGAGACACGGUCCAGACUCCUACGGGAGGCAGCAGUGGGGAAUAUUGGACAAUGGGCGAAAGCCUGAUCCAGCCAUGCCGCGUGUGUGAAGAAGGUCUUCGGAUUGUAAAGCACUUUAAGUUGGGAGGAAGGGCAUUAACCUAAUACGUUAGUGUUUUGACGUUACCGACAGAAUAAGCACCGGCUAACUCUGUGCCAGCAGCCGCGGUAAUACAGAGGGUGCAAGCGUUAAUCGGAAUUACUGGGCGUAAAGCGCGCGUAGGUGGUUUGUUAAGUUGGAUGUGAAAGCCCCGGGCUCAACCUGGGAACUGCAUCCAAAACUGGCAAGCUAGAGUAUGGUAGAGGGUGGUGGAAUUUCCUGUGUAGCGGUGAAAUGCGUAGAUAUAGGAAGGAACACCAGUGGCGAAGGCGACCACCUGGACUGAUACUGACACUGAGGUGCGAAAGCGUGGGG